rnacentral:rRNA from 1 species
GACGAACCGUGCGAACGUUAUUCGGAAUCACUGGGCUUAAAGCGCGUGUAGGCGGGACGCACGUCGGUCGCUGAAAUCCCCCCGGCUCAACCGGGGAACGGGCGCCGAUACGACCGCCCUGGAGGGGCGUAGGGGGACCUGGAACUUCCGGUGGAGCGGUGAAAUGCGUUGAGAUCGGAAGGAACGCCCGUGGCGAAAGCGAGGUCCUGGACGCCUACUGACGCUGAGACGCGAAAAGCCCAGGGGGGAGCCGGAAACGGGGAUUAAGAA